rnacentral:rRNA from 1 species
GACUCCUACGGGAGGCAGCAGUGGGGAAUAUUGGGCAAUGGAGGAAACUCUGACCCAGCGACGCCGCGUGCGGGAUGAAGGCCUUCGGGUUGUAAACCGCUUUCAGCAGGGAAGAAGCGAAAGUGACGGUACCUGCAGAAGAAGCACCGGCUAACUAUGUG